AAAGCGUGCGCAGGCGGUUAUGUAAGACAGAUGUGAAAUCCCCGGGCUCAACCUGGGAACUGCAUUUGUGACUGCAUGGCUAGAGUACGGUAGAGGGGGAUGGAAUUCCGCGUGUAGCAGUGAAAUGCGUAGAUAUGCGGAGGAACACCGAUGGCGAAGGCAAUCUCCUGGGCCUGUACUGACGCUCAUGCACGAAAGCGUGGGGAGCAAACAGGAUUAGAUACCCUAGU
rnacentral:rRNA from 1 species